GGAAACUGCCAUAUCUUCUCUCAGACCUGAAAUGUAUUCUGGAAUGCUGCUGCUGGAGUAAAGGUUGGGAAUGAGGAAAGAAGGAAGCAAAAAGUGAGUAGGUAGGGGAUGCACUUCAGCAACAGAUGAUUUCUCUGGUGUUUGCUCAGUCUUUUCUCUGGCUCUGCUUCUCAAUGAAAGCAAAGUGCUCUAUCAAAGUGAGUUAAGUACUACAAGAAGGACUCUUCCUGGGAAGUUGGUUUUGGAUGAUCUUUCCUUCAAUAAGUUUCUAUUUUUUAUUCACCCCAUCCACUGCAAAUGGAUGUAGUGUUCAGGAAGCUGGCUCAUUACCUGAAGCAUGGAUGCAGUACUCAGGCCUAAGCAGCUCAGAGAGAAGCUGUGAGUUCUGCUGCAGUGAGAGAAGACAACUCUCAGUGAUGCCAGUGGGAUAUCUCUGAGGAAAUUGCGGAGUUCUGACAGCUGCUGCUUUCAGCAUCUCCCAAACCAACUGAUGGCUCACCCUCACUUGCCACCAGAUGCUGUCCUGGGGCUGUGGUCCUGACCCUCUGUGUGACACCAGGUGCCUGCUGCCUACAGAUCACCAUUCCUGGCUCUCUGUCCAGCACUGUUCUCCUUCCAGCGCCCAGCCUGCUUACAGAGCUCACUUUGCCAUGAGAUGGGACACUUAGUGUCCUUUCUGGAGGCCCUUUGACAUGUGUGAAAUGUUGUAUCGAGUGUAAGUGUCCACAAAGGACAAAGCAGGAGCCACUGGUCCAGUGACUGAGAGCUGUCUGUUUCUGAAUGUGUUAAAUGGGCUCUUGUGUGUUGUAUGUUUUUAGGCCUACUUCCCAGCUGACCUUACAAAUCACAAAAAGCAUGUUUCCCUCUCUGGCAGUUGGGUGGCAUGUGGAUCUUUGAGUGGUAAUAUCAUUAUGUGCAUGGCUUAUCUUAAGCAGGCAGCUAAACUCCAACUUUUCUGUCAUCUUCAUCAUGUAUUAGCUAAAACCACAGUCAAACUUCUGCAGAUGUGUUAAGGCUAACCAUGCCUUGAUUUCAGUCUCUCUUUGAGAUGGGUACAGUAUUCAUUUUUAAAAAUAGCAAUGAAAGAAUCCCUGCCAGUGACAAUUUAAAGUGGAAAAAUCCCUGCCAGUGACAAUUUAAAGAGUGAAAAUGAUGGGUACAGAGACUUUACAUAGCUACUUAAAUAUAAAAAGAAGCUAUGUCUUCAUAUAGGAACACGUGAGAUCUCAAUCCAGCAUUCUUCCCUAAUAAACUCAGUUCGGCCUGAAAGACUGCAAAACCUGUCAGUAAAUGAGAUAUGCCACUGUGACUGUUAAGUUUGCUGCAAUGCUACAGGCCUGAUUUCAUGCUAAUGUAGCUUGAUAUGACCUCAUUUCAGUUAAUGUAGCCAAAUUCUGAUAAAACAUUAGGUUUCAUAAGUCUGCUUGCAGAAAAAGUGAAUUAGAAACAAGAUUUUCCUGGCAUUGCUUCUUCUGCUUGUAAGCUAAAAACACAGUAAUUUUUCAUUUACAAAAUUUAAAUUGCUGUUUUAAAAUUAAAGUAUAUGCUUAAAUCCAUGAAUUACAUAAAAGAUAUCUGAAGCUGGGAAAAAUAUCUGGAAAGGAUCAUUAAAGUUGAUCAGAUGUAAGGG
rnacentral:lncRNA from 1 species